GAUGAACGCUGGCGGCGUGCCUAAUACAUGCAAGUCGAGCGAACAGACGAGGAGCUUGCUCCUCUGACGUUAGCGGCGGACGGGUGAGUAACACGUGGAUAACCUACCUAUAAGACUGGGAUAACUUCGGGAAACCGGAGCUAAUACCGGAUAAUAUAUUGAACCGCAUGGUUCAAUAGUGAAAGACGGUUUUGCUGUCACUUAUAGAUGGAUCCGCGCCGCAUUAGCUAGUUGGUAAGGUAACGGCUUACCAAGGCAACGAUGCGUAGCCGACCUGAGAGGGUGAUCGGCCACACUGGAACUGAGACGCGGUCCAGACUCCUACGGGAGGCAGCAGUAGGGAAUCUUCCGCAAAGGGCGAAAGCCUGACGGAGCAACGCCGCGUGAGUGAUGAAGGUCUUCGGAUCGUAAAACUCUGUUAUUAGGGAAGAACAAAUGUGUAAGUAACUAUGCACGUCUUGACGGUACCUAAUCAGAAAGCCACGGCUAACUACGUG
rnacentral:rRNA from 1 species